rnacentral:rRNA from 1 species
AGAGUUUGAUCAUGGCUCACAGCGAACGCUGGCGGCAGGCCUAACACAUGCAAGUCGAGCGCCGUAGCAAUACGGAGCGGCAGACGGGAGAGUAACACGUGGGAACGUGCCCUUCAGUUCGGAACAACCCAGGGAAACUUGGGCUAAUACCGGAUACGUCCGUAAGGAGAAAGAUUUAUCGCUGAAGGAUCGGCCCGCGUCUGAUUAGCUAGUUGGUGAGGUAAUGGCUCACCAAGGCGACGAUCAGUAGCUGGUCUGAGAGGAUGAUCAGCCUCACUGGGACUGAGACACGGCCCAGACUCCUACGGGAGGCAGCAGUGGGGAAUAUUGGACAAUGGGCGCAAGCCUGAUCCAGCCAUGCCGCGUGGGUGAUGAAGGCCUUAGGGUUGUAAAGCCCUUUCGGCGGGGAAGAUAAUGACGGUACCCGCAGAAGAAGCCCCGGCUAACUUCGUGCCAGCAGCCGCGGUAAUACGAAGGGGGCUAGCGUUGCUCGGAAUCACUGGGCGUAAAGCGCACGUAGGCGGCUUUUUAAGUCAGGGGUGAAAUCCUGGAGCUCAACUCCAGAACUGCCCUUGAUACUGAGAAGCUUGAGUCCGGGAGAGGUGAGUGGAACUGCGAGUGUAGAGGUGAAAUUCGUAGAUAUUCGCAAGAACACCAGUGGCGAAGGCGGCUCACUGGCCCGGUACUGACGCUGAGGUGCGAAAGCGUGGGGAGCAAACAUGAUUAGAUACCCUGGUAGUCCACGCCGUAAACGAUGGAUGCUAGCCGUUGUCGGGUUUACUCGUCAGUGGCGCAGCUAACGCAUUAAGCAUCCCGCCUGGGGAGUACGGUCGCAGAUUAAACUCAACGAAUUGACGGGGGCCCGCACAAGCGGUGGAGCAUGUGGUUCAAUUCUAAGCAACGCGAAAACCUUACCAGCCGUUGACAUCCCGGUCGCGGGCA